rnacentral:rRNA from 1 species
AGGAACAAUUGGAGGGCAAGUCUGGUGCCAGCAGCCGCGGUAAUUCCAGCUCCAAUAGCGUAUAUUAAAGUUGUUGCAGUUAAAAAGCUCGUAGUUGAACUUUGGACUUAUAUUACUAGUCAGAUGGAAAUCUAGUACUAGAAAGAAUAUAAGUCUUUCCUUCUGGGUAAAUUAUUAAAAUUUUAAUAAUUGAACCAGGACGAUUACUUUGAAAAAAUUAGAGUGUUCAAAGCAGGCGAGAAGCAUGAAUAUAUUAGCAUGGAAUAAUAGAAUAGGACGUUUGGACCUAUUUUGUUGGUUUCUAGGACCAUCGUAAUGAUUAAUAGGGACGGUCGGGGGCAUCAGUAUUCAAUUGUCAGAGGUGAAAUUCUUAGAUUUAUUGAAGACUAACUACUGCGAAAGCAUUUGCCAAGGACGUUUUCAUUAAUCAAGAACGAAAGUUAGGGGAUCGAAGAUGAUCAGAUACCGUCGUAGUCUUAACCAUAAACUAUGCCAACUAGGGAUCGGGUGGAGUUUAAAUAGAGACGCACUCGGGACCUUAAGAGAAAUCAAAGUAUUUGGGUUCUGGGGGGAGUAUGGUCGCAAGGCUGAAACUUAAAGGAAUUGACGGAAGGGCACCACCAGGAGUGGAGCCUGCGGCUUAAUUUGACUCAACACGGGGAAACUCACCAGGUCCGGACACAAUAAGGAUUGACAGAUUGAGAGCUCUUUCUUGAUUUUGUGGG